CUACGGGAGGCACCAGUCGAGAAUCUUCCGCAAUGGACGAAAGUCUGACGGAGCGACGCCGCGUGCGGGAUGAAGGCCUUCGGGUUGUAAACCGCUGUCAGUGGGGAGGAAAUGCAUCAGGGUUCUCCCUGGUGUUUGACCGAUCCGCAGAGGAAGCGCAGGCUAAGUUCGUGCCAGCAGCCGCGGUAACACGAACUGCGCGAACGUUAUUCGGAAUCACUGGGCUUAAAGAGUUCGUAGGCGGCCUUUCAAGUCGGGUGUGAAAUCCCUCGGCUCAACCGAGGAAUUGCGCCUGAUACUGUUGGGCUUGAGGGGGAUAGGGGUGAGCGGAACUGAUGGUGGAGCGGUGAAAUGCGUUGAUAUCAUCAGGAACACCGGUGGCGAAGGCGGCUCACUGGAUCUCUUCUGACGCUGAGGAACGAAAGCUAGGGGAGCGAACGGGAUUAGAUACCCCGGUAGUC
rnacentral:rRNA from 1 species